rnacentral:rRNA from 1 species
AAAAAGUAACAAGGUCUCCGUAGGUGAACCUGCGGAGGGAUCAUUACACAAAUAUGAAGGCGGGCUGGAACCUCUCGGGGUUACAGCCUUGCUGAAUUAUUCACCCUUGUCUUUUGCGUACUUCUUGUUUCCUUGGUGGGUUCGCCCACCACUAGGACAAACAUAAACCUUUUGUAAUUGCAAUCAGCGUCAGUAACAAAUUAAUAAUUACAACUUUCAACAACGGAUCUCUUGGUUCUGGCAUCGAUGAAGAACGCAGCGAAAUGCGAUAAGUAGUGUGAAUUGCAGAAUUCAGUGAAUCAUCGAAUCUUUGAACGCACAUUGCGCCCUUUGGUAUUCCAAAGGGCAUGCCUGUUCGAGCGUCAUUUGUACCCUCAAGCUUUGCUUGGUGUUGGGCGUCUUGUCUCUAGCUUUGCUGGAGACUCGCCUUAAAGUAAUUGGCAGCCGGCCUACUGGUUUCGGAGCGCAGCACAAGUCGCACUCUCUAUCAGCAAAGGUCUAGCAUCCAUUAAGCCUUUUUUCAACUUUGACCUCGAUCAGUAGAUCCCGGGC